UUUUUUUUAUAUAUAGGAAGCCAAUAUUGGUUAGUGAAUUAGUAUAAAAGCUGAUACGAACUCCCGUAUUUAUAAAACAACACCAUGAAUGAAGAAGCACGAGAUCACGAAUUUCUUUUGGGGGAUCUACCCUCAAAUCUAAUGGAAAAAUUUAUUGUAAUGAUGGUUGCGGAGGUGGUUCCACCCAUGCCUCCCCUUAUAUACAUCGCUGGGAGGUAGGGCUAGUUGGUUUUCAUGAGAAAUCACCUACACUUUCUAGAGAUUUGGAAAAUGAAAACUCUGACAAUGGUGUUCAUUUUUUAUAUGAAG